AAUAAGGUGCCUGAUUAAAGGGCUAUUUUGAUAGAAUAGAUAAAGUAAAAAUAAAUUACCCUUAUUA
rnacentral:tRNA from 1 species